UUGAUUUGGAUUAUGCUUGUGUUGUGCAUGUGUGUGAUCAGAUGAUUAUCAUGUGAAAACAGAUUUUUUUUCAAGCAUUCGUUUUCAUGCGACUUUAAGGAUUGGUAAGAUGGAACAUUCUUAGCUUUACGUUACUACAAUAUUUCUACGGGCUUGAAACAUAAAAAUUGACUUUAUCAACAAUGAUUUGGUUUGUGUAUUUUUCUCAUGUUAAGGAUUGUAUGGAUGGAUCUUUAGACGAAACUAGCGUGUGCUCUGUGUGAACAUGUUGAAGAAGUUGGGGAUGAAGGCCGUCUGCUAAGGGCGUGUCUUAUCCUAAUUUCUCUAAGAGCUUGUUUUUAUUACGCGCAAGAGAUCUCAAAUUAUUUAAACUCUCUAACUAGAUCUUGGGAUCGAUGCAUUUGUGCAUGAUAAACUUGCUAACGAAGAUGCAAAGUCACCCUUGACGGUAAAUAGUUUAUAAAUCUCCUAUCAGAAACUGAAAAAUCUACAGUGAUUAAUGAGAGGGUUUCAUGGUUGUUCCUUUUUUCUGCAGCUACAUCCCACGAUGAUGAA
rnacentral:lncRNA from 1 species